rnacentral:rRNA from 1 species
UACAGAGGUGGCAAGCGUUGUUCGGAAUUACUGGGCGUAAAGGGCGCGUAGGCGGCGUGACAAGUCACUUGUGAAAUCUCCGGGCUUAACUCGGAACGGUCAAGUGAUACUGUCGUGCUAGAGUACAGAAGGGGCAACUGGAAUUCUCGGUGUAGCGGUGAAAUGCGUAGAUAUCGAGAGGAACACCUGCGGCGAAGGCGGGUUGCUGGGCUGAUACUGACGCUGAGGCGCGAAAGCCAGGGGAGCGAACGGG